rnacentral:ncRNA from 1 species
CUUGUCAGGUAAGAGAACUUGCCUGAACGUUUUGUAAAAAGCGUGAAUAACAGUUGUUUUCAACCAUUCAAACAUGGCUAUAUGCUGGAAACUCUCUAAAAUUCCAACGGGCAACCGGUUGGACUAAGGAGACAAUCAGCAGGGAAGUCGUAAUUGACCCCUCAGAGACUACACGCCGUGCUCCGUUCGCCUUUGCGAACGGAUGAAGAUAUAGUCCGAUCUCUAUGGCGACGUAGAG